ACUAUUUUAGUGAUAGCCCCUGUAUUAAGAACACCUUACUCUGCAGUGAGCACCUCCCCUCAUCAUUUAUAAGAUUCAGCCUGAUCAUCUCCUACACUUCUUCAUAGGGAGCCCCUUGUGGAGUACUAGGAAGCCGUACCAUGACAACACCAAUGUGCUGCAUAGUAGAAGGCAGUACAGUAGAAGCCAUUUUAAGAGAGUCAUCUGGGCACCAAGUUUGGUUGAAAUUGCUUAAGGCGUUCCAGAGUUAUGCUGGAACACACACAGACAAACACACAGAGCCAUUUAUAGAAGAAAUAGAAGAUGA